UUGAAAGGGAAACGAUUGAAGUCAGUCGUACCGACGGAAAAUCAACUUUUCGGGUGCCAAUCGUGGGUGACGUUGAGCCUCACGGUCUUCGUUGCUUGUGUUGUUGGUAUCUUUGGAGUGUACUUUUUCGUAUGGUAGGUCAACAUCGAUUUUGAUCGUCAUAAAAUGAUCGGAGGAAUGUAGCUUUGAUUUCGAUCGAAGUGUUAUAGCCUUUGGUAGAUGUGACGAUUGGGAUCGAGGAUUGCAACGAAUACCCUUUGGGCUAUCCGUCUGGCCUCUGAAAGUCGCUUGGGAGUCGAAAACUUGCUUACGACUAUUCAAGUUGGCGGUCAACAGGUUAGAACGCGAUUACAUUCGUUAAGGAUGUUGACGUA
rnacentral:rRNA from 1 species